rnacentral:rRNA from 1 species
UACGUAGGGGGCAAGCGUUGUCCGGAUUUAUUGGGCGUAAAGAGCGUGUAGGCGGCCAAGCAGGUCAGCUGUGAAAACUCGAGGCUCAACCUCGAGACGUCGGUUGAAACCGCUUGGCUAGAGUCCGGAAGAGGAGAGUGGAAUUCCCGGUGUAGCGGUGAAAUGCGCAGAUAUCGGGAAGAACACCCGUGGCGAAGGCGGCUCUCUGGGACGGUACUGACGCUGAGACGGCGAAAGCGUGGGGAGCGAACAGG